GGGGACAGAGAUUUGCUCCUCCCAAUCAUCAUCUUGAAAGACCGUCACAUCCGCAUUAUGAAAGAAAUCAGUAUAAUAGAUCUGGUAACAUACACAGUGGGAGAAUCAGUCAUUCAGAUACCAGAGGUCGGGCUGGUCCAGUGGAGAGCUACCCUCAAAAUGGUGGAUAUCCCUAUCCCCGCUACUACCCUCCUACAAGUGCACCUGUAGUACAAGCUCCUGUGCCCG
rnacentral:misc_RNA from 1 species